rnacentral:tRNA from 1 species
GCUUUCGUAGCUCAACUGGUAGAGCAGUCGGCUUUUAACCGAAAGGUUGUGGGUUCAAGUCCCACCGAAAGCA